AUUACAAAUUUAUCACUAGUUUGAAACGUUAUUACAAAUCUACUACUAGAAAAUUGCACAAAUGCGACUAGAACUAUCAUUUUAGUGGCAUCCUUGCAAUUUAGCAAAACCAAUGGCAAAUUUACAAAAGCCCCUUCUUUUUAUUACUCGCACCACUUGUGUCAUGUCCGUGUGAGUUAUUGAGGUUGGAUUUAGCUAUG
rnacentral:lncRNA from 1 species